GACGAACCGUACGAACGUUAUUCGGAAUUACUGGGCUUAAAGGGUGCGUAGGCUGCGCGGAAAGUUGGGUGUGAAAUCCCUCGGCUCAACCGAGGAACUGCGCUCAAAACUACCGUGCUCGAGGGAGACAGAGGUGAGCGGAACUUAGGGUAGAGCGGUGAAAUGCGUUGAUAUCCUAAGGAACACCCGUGGCGAAAGCGGCUCACUGGGUCUCUUCUGACGCUGAGGCACGAAAGCUAGGGUAGCGAACGGGG
rnacentral:rRNA from 1 species